UAGCAGUGACGCUAUUACUGUGUAACUCCGGUAGGGCAACAUCGGAAAAAUAGCGCACUUGGUAGUGUUAACCGGUGCUCGACCAGUCGGCGAAAGCCAACAUCACCCACGACAGAGAACGGUUGAUUGUCAAGGGCAAUGAAUUCCAUUAUCUUGGCUUUAAUGGAUUUCGCCUUUGAGUUGUCUCGCUGAAAUGUUGUUACUCUUUCAAAUGACUGCUUGACUUGUUGACAGCUUGACUUGUUGAUCCACACAGCAGACAUUCUGGGUCAGUUUAGGAACGGUGUGUUGCACGUAUAGCGCAAACAUGUACGUGGCGUCAUUAUGUCAUGUACCUUCGUUAUAUAGGUAUGCACGUCAGCUUUGACAUUGGGUUUGCACAUCGGGCGUUAAACUAGACAUCGGCCGAUACCGAUGUUGGCAUUCUUAGCUAAUAUCGGUCGAUUCCGAUAUGUUCACCGAUAUAUCGUGCAUCCCUAGUUAGGAUAGACAAAUGCUAGUUUAUAUGUCGCCAUGCACUUCUACUUAAUAUUUAUGCAGCAGUAUGAUGGCUUUUUAAAUGCAAAUACCAGUAAGUAAUGAAUAAUUAACCUGAAGAUAAACAUUUAAAUGCUUCUCUAUUAGGAGUCUGUCACAAAAGCUGCGCUAGGACAAAUUAACAAGUGUCAUGUUCAGUACAAUAUGCUUGGCUCUGCGUGGAGGAACUACUUUUGAACUGUUAAAUACAGUAGACUGUAGAGACUUGGACCUUAUCACAGUGCACAGGAGAGGGAAGUAUAACUACAAGUAAAAAGGGAAAGUCACAAAUACAUAGUUGUUUUUACAGCAGCAUUUAUCAGUAAGCAAAUUAAGGAAACACAAGACGUCUCUUAGUUUUGCCCAGCUGACCCAUUUAUUUUUCUAGAAAGUGGCUAAAUGCUGUUCUGGAGCCUUUUUGUGUCAACGUAUGAGCUGGACCCUGGUGAAAGGAAUAAGCUUAGGCUGAGGGAUUUUGGGAAAUGCCAGAAUAGAUUAAUAUUGGAGCCCCUUCCUCAUAUUUGGGAGGGAGCCAGGUCAGAGGUACGUGACAGAAUUCCCAACUCCGUAAUGGCACAGUAAUGUCCUGCUCGAUAGAGAAUGAGAUCGAGGCUUUUGUGUGUGGUUUGCCCAGUGAUUUGCAUGAGUGAUGUCAAUGAUUGCCAUGCUGUCUGUCUCACACUCAUGGCAGUUUUGCAGUUUGACAUUUAAAAAUGUAUCCAGUGUCUUGCUUAUUGUCAAUGCCCCCCCACAGAACAAUUAACUUACAUAUUCACAGUCUUGCCAGGCUGUUUGUAUUGGAACAAAGGGAAAAAGCACACAGUAUACUACACAAGUGCUCUAUGACAUAUACUUUGACAGGGAGUCACAGUUUUACAUAUGUUAAAGUGUCUUUUUUGACAUCCGUGUCCUUAAAGUAUUUGGAAAAGGAUCUCAGACUUCUUUGGUAGUCAUUUGUGUAUCGUCUAUGCCUAGUUAGUAAAUAUCUGUUGGUAUCUAAGGUGCUUACCAUUACACCUGGACACCCAUAGGUUAGAUUGGAUCGCUGGAUGGUUUGCAUGUUUAAAAAAGUGUUGCAUAAAGACUUAUUUGCAUUUUAUUGCUUUGAAACGGAUGCUUUGAAAUGGAUUAAGGAUGUAGGUAAUGUGUCAGUUGUGUGUGGAGGGAUUGUUGUACUCAGUUAUCACUAUCAUCAGCUGGAUGAUCUGUGUUUCCUUAAUUCAUUUUCUGUGACUUGUGACAUAUCAACUCUUGUCAUUUUGGGAACUAGUAGGGAGUUACUUAUUGUUUCUAACAGUCUGUGCCACAUACUAAGAGGUUACACCAGGGUAAUGGCUGUAUGCUUGUUUUAGCAAGGCAACAUCUUUUGAACCAUCUAAAACAAAGUAACCUACACUUGCUCAAAGACAAAGCCAUAUUUUUUGCAUGGUUUUCACCAUACUAAGACAUUACAUACUGUUCACGGCUAACUCUGAAUUGUUUCCCCUAACUAAUGUCGUCACUCGAAUGACAACAUUGAAGAGAGCACAUGAAUUGAACUCAUCAGUUAUGUUGUUAUGUCUAUGGGUUACAAAGGGUGAGACACCAGCAUCAUAUCGAAGAAUAUUGCUAGGUUAUGGAGGAAUGAAGACGACUAGAAUGUGUAAAAGUAAAAUUGAAGCAAACUUAAAUGUGAAAUGAAGAUGUUAAUUGUUUGACUACAAUGUACUUAUAAUUGUUUUAUUUCUGUUUUUAUCUGCCAUUAUUGUAGCAGAUCCAGAAAAACAGGUCCCCAAUUGGAUAAACACUCACUGAGAUGUUAUGGGUGUUUCUUUGCUGUGAUCUUGUCUAGUAUUUCAGCAUCCUGGGAUUUAUUUUGUUCAUUAUUAUUCUGAGUUAUUGCCUUCUUAUGGGUGAUUUUUAGAGGUUGACGCUUGUUUAAACUGCUGAAGUAUUUUGAAUUCAUUAUCAAGCUUCACCCAUUUUAUAUUUGUUGAUGUUGCGCAUCUCUGCAAAUGAAGGUGAUUGUUUACAAUGAUAUAUUUGGUAAAUACCAGUUUUAUCCCCUCCUAUCACAAACCUCUUUGGUACAAUUCAGAAACCCUUAUUUCUUUAAUGUGUUAUACACAUUUGUGCUGCUUCAUGAAUAUGAUUGCCUUGUAUUAAGCUAUGGGGAAAUAGAAUGUUGCCAUUUAAAUGUAUGUACACUUAGUGACUGGUUAUCAUUUUGGGAGAACAAAGUAGAUUUGCAAUUUGUAAACAACUAUAGUCUGUUAAAACAUAAUUCGUAGCUAUUAGUAAAUACUCACCAGAAAAAAUACAUCACUUCAGUUUACAUUUUGUUAAUUGUCAAAUUUUCCAAAGUACAUUUUUUUUACUCUUGUAUUUUUUUCUUUUGUGGAAAAAAUCAACAGAUCAAUUGCACAUUUUGGAUACAGUUCAAGAAGUUUUUGUAUCUGCCGAUUUAUAAAUUGUAAAUAAAAACUAUAUUCCGA
rnacentral:lncRNA from 1 species